rnacentral:rRNA from 1 species
UACGUAGGGUGCGAGCGUUGUCCGGAUUUAUUGGGCGUAAAGAGCUCGUAGGCGGUUUGUCGCGUCGGCCGUGAAAUCUCCACGCUUAACGUGGAGCGUGCGGUCGAUACGGGCAGACUAGAGUGCGGUAGGGGAGACUGGAAUUCCUGGUGUAGCGGUGAAAUGCGCAGAUAUCAGGAGGAACACCGGUGGCGAAGGCGGGGUCUCUGGGCAACAACUGACGCUGGAGGAGCGAAAGCCGUGGGGAGCGAACAGG